rnacentral:sRNA from 1 species
GCCAGGCAUGGUGGCGCAUGCCUGUAGUCCCAGCUACUAAGGAGGCUGAGGCAGGAGAAUUGCUUGAACCCAGGAGGCAGAGGUUGCAGUGAGCUGAGAUCGUGCCACUGCACUCCUGCCUGGGUAACAGAGCAAGACUCCAUCUCAA